ACGGAAGGCAGCAGUGGGGAAUAUUGCACAAUGGGCGAAAGCCUGAUGCAGCGACGCCGCGUGAGUGAUGAAGUAUUUCGGUAUGUAAAGCUCUAUCAGCAGGGAAGAUAAUGACGGUACCUGACUAAGAAGCACCGGCUAAAUACGUGCCAGCAGCCGCGGUAAUACGUAUGGUGCAAGCGUUAUCCGGAUUUACUGGGUGUAAAGGGAGCGCAGGCGGUACGGCAAGUCUGAUGUGAAGGCCCGGGGCUCAACCCCGGUACUGCAUUGGAAACUGUCGAACUAGAGUGUCGGAGGGGUAAGUGGAAUUCCUAGUGUAGCGGUGAAAUGCGUAGAUAUUAGGAGGAACACCAGUGGCGAAGGCGACUUACUGGACGAUAACUGACGCUGAGGCUCGAAAGCGUGGGGAGCAAACAGGAUUAGAUACCCUGGUA
rnacentral:rRNA from 1 species